GUAGGGAAUAUUGCACAAUGGGCGCAAGCCUGAUGCAGCAACGCCGCGUGCGCGAUGAAGGCCUUCGGGUCGUAAAGCGCUUUUCGGGGAGAUGAGGAAGGACAGUAUCCUCGGAAGAAGGAUCGGCUAACUACGUGCCAGCAGCCGCGGUAAAACGUAGGAUCCGAGCGUUAUCCGAAUUCACUGGGCGUAAAGCGCGUGCAGGCGGUUCGGUAAGUUGGAUGUGAAAUCUCCCGGCUCAACUGGGAGGGGACGUUCAAUACUGUCGGACUCGAGGACGGUAGAGGGAGGUGGAAUUCCCGGUGUAGUGGUGAAAUGCGUAGAUAUCGGGAGGAACACCAGUGGCGAAGGCGGCCUCCUGGACCGUACCUGACGCUCAGACGCGAAAGCUAGGGGAGCGAACGGGAUUAGAAACCCCAGUAGUCC
rnacentral:rRNA from 1 species